rnacentral:rRNA from 1 species
UACGGAGGGUGCAAGCGUUAUCCGGAUUCACUGGGUUUAAAGGGUGUGUAGGCGGGUAUUUAAGUCCGUGGUGAAAUCUCCGGGCUCAACCCGGAAACUGCCAUUGAUACUAUUUAUCUUGAAUCUUGUUGAGGUAGGCGGAAUUCAUCAUGUAGCGGUGAAAUGCUUAGAUAUGAUGUAGAACACCGAUUGCGAAGGCAGCUUACUAAACAAGCAUUGACGCUGAGGCACGAAAGCGUGGGGAUCAAACAGG